rnacentral:lncRNA from 1 species
ACUUACAACAACAACAACAACAAACCCAGUGUAUUCCCACUUUGUGGGGUCUGGGGGGGGUAAGAUGUACGCAGUCCAUACCUCUACCUCUGAUGAAGUAGAAAGGCUGUUUCCGAAAGACCCCCGGCUCAAGUUACGAGAUAUCAAACAAACACAUAGUACAGCACAGAAGCAGAUGACAUAACAUAGAUACUGCAGCCAUAAGGAAUAUAAAACAGAGUAAAGCAGGAAAGCAGGAAUAUAAAGCAGAGGAAAGCACACAGAUUCGUAACAAACAUAGAACACGGAACACGGAACAGAACAUUGAAUACGGAAUCAUACCAGGAAUAUACCCCCACCAAUUACCUCCCUACAUUAGCGACCCGAACAGGCCCUAAUCCUCUGCCGUAAUUCGCGUCUUCCAGACCUUCCUAUCUAGGGUCAUGUCCUCGGUAAGCUGUAACUGUUCCAUGUCCCGCCUAAUCACCUCACCCCAGUACUUCUUCGGUCUACCCCUACCCCGUCUAAAACCAUCCAACGCUAGCCUCUCACACCUACGGACCGGGGCAUCCAUGCCCCUCCUCUUCACGUGUCCGAACCAUCUCAAUCGUGCUUCCCGCAUCUUACACUCCACUGAAGUCACCCC